AGGUCUGUGAAGACUUUUGUUGGGUUUUGAUGGGUAUUAAAUUGAAUCUGAAGAUUGCCUUUGGACUCCUGGAGCUCCACCUGGGGCCUGGACAUGGAUCUCUGCAUCUGAUUUCCUCAGUCAUUGGAUGAGGUUUCUAGCACGACAAUUAGGGUGUUUGGCCAUCCUAUCACCAGAGUAGGUCAUUUCAGGCUGUCUCUCGACCAUUGCCAGUAGUCUAUUGUGGAGCUAUCCUUGUGGAUUUCUGUGGACCUCUCUAGUACCCUGCUUCUUCCUAUUCUCAUGUGAUCUCCAUUUACCAUGGUCUCUUAUUCCUUGUUCUCUCUCUCUCUGUUCUUGAUCCAGGUGGGAUCUCCUGUUCCCCCAAUCAUGAUAUUAAAAGAUAUUAAAAGAUAGAAUUGUGUAUGUCAAGUUCGCAUGGGGUGAAGUUGUGAUAGCUAUUUUUCGUUGUCAAAUUUAUUACAUCUGGAAUUAACUAAGACCCAAAAAUGGAGGGGCACACCUGUGAGAUAUUAAUUUGCUUAAUUUGAAGAGAAAAGAUCCACAUGGAAGCCAGCUCUUUGCAGUUGGAAGACAUUCUUUUAACUGGAUGUUGAUGAGGAAAGAAAGAAACACCUUUAACUCAGAUGUUUUUGGCCCCCAAGCCUGACCUGUAAUCUGAGCCAGGCCUUGUGCUGGAAGCCCAUAUACAGAAAUGGAAGAAGGGAGCUUUUGCUCUUUAGCUGCUUGCUCUCACCUUGCUAGCAAGUUCAUUCCUUCCCUGGCAUUGGAGCCAACUUCUUUGGGAUUCGAGACUAUACUACUGAUGGGCUGAGACAAUAGGUGUAGUGGACUGGAUUCUUGGACUUCGCCAUCAAGCUAGCUGAACCAUAGCCUCUAAGUCAUUCUAAAAAAUAGCCUUCUGUAUAUAUAGAAAUGCAUUCUAUAAGUUGUUACCCAAUAGAACCCUGAGCAAUGCACCAGACAGGGAUAAAACUUUUAGAGUACUUUGGGCCUCACAACAGCGUUAUCUCAGUUAUGAAUUACACAGAAUCACUGGGAAAGAAAGUAAAAUAACACAAGUCUGAAAUUUCUCAAAUGGAACACACAGUAAUCUAAUUAAAUGAGUAAUUAUGUGAGAUGGAGAGAGUCUAGCUUAAGUAAGAAAUGAAAAAAAAGAUGUCUUAGCUUCUGUGGUACAAGACCUGGCACCAGCUCCAUCCCACAUGAAGAUCAGAGGAGAGUAGCUUCUUUUUUACCCUUGUUGUGACAGCUCUAGUCCGGAGAGCCAGGGGAUAAAUUUCUUUACACAUCAAAUCUCUGCCUCACUGUCAGUCUCAGGAGUCAGAUCUAUCCCAGAGGAGCUUCACAAGAGUAAAUCAGUCAUUUGGAGGAACUUUCUCAAUAUAAUCUGAGAUCUGCUGUGAUAAAAGAGAAACGUCAGCCACCUCUCACCUUUUUAGUCUUGCACAGAUUCACUCUGUACCAGAGACAUGUGGCCCCUGAUGCUGUCUCUAUCCACUCCACCUAGUCAUGAGGUUCCUCCCAUCAUUGCUCAUCAGGACCGUCAUGAGGGAUUCCUCAUCCUACCUACACCACCAGGAGGGUCUAUUCUAUUUUGCAUUUUAUUAGACAGGCUUAAUAGGUGUUGUCAACCUAGAAGAGAUCUAGCAAAUCUGUUCCAAUCUGACAGUCAGUGAGACUGGGGCAGGAUCCUGAACCUAUGAGAGCCCUGAAUGGAUGUGUGGCAGCCUAAGACAAUUAGCAUACCUGUCUCUACAGGUUCCAAGAAACUUCAGGCUUUGGUUGGGAAUGAACCAAUUGAACUAAAACAGCACACAUGGCUGGGAGGACAGAGGUCAAUUGCAGGGACUGUGGAGAUGGCUCGUCCAUUAAGAGCAUUUAUUGCUAUCUCAGAAGACCCACAGGACACCUAACAAACCUUUUUAACUUAAAUUCCAGGUGGACUCUGCCCUCACCUGGCCCCUGUGGGAAUUACAUGUACAUGGUGGCAAAACACCUUAAGUAUAAAGAAAAGCACCACAAAAUAUCCCAACAUACAUUGAAGGAAUUAUCUCUGCUGUUCGGAUAUCACUCAUGUUAUAUUUCAAGAAAACCAGAGGCAGAAUGCUUUUCAUUUCUUUAUUUCUUUUAUACAAUUUUAAUGAAUAUUCUUAUUUCCAAAAAUGCCUGAAUCAAUAUACUUGUGUUUCCCUUUAAUUUGGUGUACAUUAUGAUUUCAUGAAUAUGUGUGUACAGUGUACCACAUUUUACUGGUAGCUAAAUAUAUGACCUCAAGCAUACAAUACAUCUAGUUUUUCUCUAUUAUGUAGUGGGUAUACAUGGAGUAGGCUAUGCCAUCCACAUCCAGCUGCAAUCCCCCUGUGUAUCCCUGAGGCCCAUGAAUGGAAAAUCCUUGUGCAGCCUGAGCUUCCUGGAACUUACUGAGAUACAUCCAAGGCUGUGAGUUCUGGGUUUACAGGAGUGUGAAACCUCAUCUGACUAAAGAAGAGUCUUGGAGUGAACAGUUUGAAAUUUAUUUGAUUCAUAAAAUACAUUCAUUUUACUCAAUGGGGGCUUUCAAAACAGCAUCAUUAUAUACAGUGUAUAGCCUUAGCAAACUAUUAAAACAAUGACAAGAUAAAAGUAAUAACAAAAAUUAACACAACCUUAAAUGAAAAUGAAGAAAACCAAAAACCAAAGCAUAAAUAUCCCAAGAUAUAAAACAAAAAAAAAUUGAGGAAAUUGCAACUUUCUUUGGAAUUUCAUUAUGGAAGAGCAAAAGUGGUGAGGAACUGGCUUAUUCUCUGUAGAGAAUUAUCUUCAGCAACACUUGCCCAUGACAUGGCGUCAGCAUCAGCACUGCAUUAGAGAGGAUCUUAUGCUUUUGGUGUGGUCUGUCUGGAUGGCAAUGUGACAUUAACACAGUCUUUCUUGUCAGAUUUCCCAUCACAUAUGGACUCAGGGUUUUUAGUAAUUUAUUUUGUGUUCUCUGUAUCUUAGACUUAUUUCUGACACAAACUGUUCUCUGGGGAUAGUGAGCCAACAGAUGUGGCUGGAUCCCCUGAUGGUAGGUUGAUAUUUGCAUCACUAGUGAGUUCAAAGCUGAAAAGAGGUGGCAUUUUCUGAGGAGGCCUUAAACCUGGAGUGUAGAAUGUCAUGCCUUCAAGGUGUCCUGGCUGCUUCUAGCCUUCUCAGUCUUCUUAACAGGUGCUGUUAUGUAAAAUCAUUAAAAAAUAUCAUUCAGAAACAGUUUUGCUGUGCCACUGGCAAGAAAAUUAGGGCCUAUUCAUCCCUAGUAAACAAAAGUUAAGGAAGGAAACACACCCCAUGAAUACCCUGCUGUUGGAGAUGGGGCUCAAUGGUGGCUUACUUGCCUGGGACAUAGUGUUUCUGCUUCAGCAGCUCCAUGUGCAGGAGGCUCUCAUCCUGGACCGUAGUCUGCUCCGUUCCUGCUGGAGGUUUUCAAACCUAAGGGAAGAAGGCAGCAAGACCAGAAGCCCAUGGGGGCGGGGGGGACCUGCCAUGUCAGCUUUUGAACCCUAACUAGAUCUACUAAGCUAGACAAUCAAGCAGUACCUUUCAGCUGAGUUAAUUCCCUGCUUCCCCAAGGGAAAAGUGUCAGAGAGGUCCUGGGCCAUAUUUUUUUCUCAAAUUUUAAAAACUGCCAGAAGUUGAACUGGAAAAUACACACUGUGCUGGAUUAGAAAAAACAGGAUAUUUCUCCAACAGUCCAAAGACAUCAUUUUGGAGAAAUAUCAGUAUGACAAGUUCUGAGGCACAGGUCAGGAGAGAUGCAGCUGGCCUUGAUUACAUAGAUACCAGGUGAAUGUGAACUUCCUGGAAAACUCUAUGCCUGCCCUCUAGUGGAGCCUAUACAGCAAUGCAGAAUAGGCUUUGAUUAUUCCUAAAGCUCAGACCCCUGCAUGGGAUAAACUUGUCAACUCCUACUCUGUUUAGGACCAGAGUAAAUCUUCUCAUGAGAAACUGAUAAACACUGCAGAGAGCCUGCAAUCAGCAGUAGGCUGUUGUGUGCUAUCUGCCAAAGGGUAGAAACUUAUCUCUGAAGUGAUGUUCCUGGUGAAAAAUAAAGUUGCAUGAGGAUGCACUUCCCUUCAUGACUGAUGAUCCCCUCUAGGUUUCUGGCUACCAUGGAAAUAUUUGUGAAGAGAUCUAACUUAAGAGAUGAGAUACUCAGAGCAUACUAGAGGUCUCAAAAUGGAAGAAGGGAACACAAUCGUCAUAAGACAAAGGAGAAAGCAUAUUGUUUCCUGGACAUAAGUUCCUGUUGACUGAGUCAGCAAUGACACUCUGAGGUGUUCUUUCCCUGGCUGUGGCUGGAAGCUUUGCCACUCGAACAGAAACUCAAAGAGGACAGAGAUCCAGGUACAGUGGACCCACUUGGAUCCACCUGCUUCUGAAAGCCUAGGCACCUACCUCAUCUGGUACACAGUGAAGUGAUGCUGCAGCUUUACUGCCAAGUCCCUUUGCCAGGUGAGCAGCUCCUUCUGCUUCAGCAGGGACUGAAGAUUUUCCUCAAAUCUCUUUGAUGUUCCUGCUCAUUAGAAGAUUGUGUUUUUAGGAGAGGGUUCCCUGCACCCAUGAACAUACAGAUGCAUGAAGACACACACACACACACACACACACACACACACACACACACACACACACACACGAGAACACAUAUAUGUACAUGGAUGCAUACAUACAAGCACACUACAUUGCAUCCGUUUUAGUUUUCUAGAUAACACUGAUGUAAUAGGAGAUCACCUGGGAUACUAUGGAGAAGAAAGUGCCCUUUCAUUAACCCACAGACUCUCUACUCAUAUUCCAGCCCAGAGGCAGGAAAACACAGGAAACUCUGAGCACAGGGAUGUGAAGAAGAUUGUGCACUUUUAUACUGUUUUGAUAAUUUUUAUUUUAUUUUUAAUUUAUAUGUGCAGGUGUUUUUCCUGUCUGUGUGUCAGAUUAGCACAUGGGAGAAAAACUCAGUGGACAGAUAAGUCAAUGUAGUGCUUGCCUUAUAAACCUGUACACUGACAGGUGAACCCCAGGGUUCCUUGACCAGUAAUCUAAGCUCUCCUAGCAAGUUCCCAAGUCUGUACAUUGAAGGCUUAGUUCCCCAGCAAAGGACCACUGGAUGGCAGUGGACCAGCCCCUUGCUCUCACUCAAUGCUUCUCAGUGUCUCCAAGGGUGGCAGCUUCCUCCUAAAAAAGCUCUCUAAACCACAGGUUGCCUCAAUUUAGGCCCAAAGGAAUGAGCUCAGAAAACAAAACAAAACAAAAAUCUCUAAAGUCAGGAGUCUAUAUUAACCUUUCCUCCAAGUAAUAUGAUUAUGUCAGGAAUUUCUUUGAGUAACAGAAGGUUGAGUAACUCACAUCCAAAUGAUUGCAUGUAUUAUUCCAUGCUUCACAAUAUUCCAUGGACCACAUUGUAUGUUUUCCCUAAUCAGGGACGGGCAUCUGAAUAGUUUCUAGCUGGAGGUGUUCUGAUGAGUCCUGCUGUGACCCUGUUGUCCCCUAUUCUCUGCGGACACCUACUUUACAUUCUGGAAUCAAUGGACCACUGGAGUCUGCAUUCAACAUUCUGAAUAAUUAUAUAUACCUUCACACAGGGCUGCACCAUCUUACACUACUAGCAAUGUCUGAGAGUUCUCAUUUCUCUCAACCCUCCAUCAGGCUGAUUUUAACUCAGUAUGAAGAAGUUUGGAAUAAAAGCAGGUUCUGAGUGCUGCAGACACAACAUGGAGUGGGUGCUUUAGAGUAUGAGGAGCGUAAGGGGUGCACUGAGACAGCCUCUCCUCACACCUCAGCAUAGCUGUGGGACUUCUGCUGGGCUGAGAUGCAGCCACAAGCACCAAUGCAGUGCAGAAUUUCUUAGAGAAUAAAAUCCAGGCCAAGCUCCAUGGUUAAGAUUAUCUGAACCAAGGUUAGGCAAAGGUGAAAGGAAAAUGGCGGCAGGCGAUGAGGAGAAGAACAAAACAGGAUGCAGGGAAGUCAUCAGUGGUCAGCCACCAUUCACCCAGAGCAGAGAAGGACACAAACCCUCAGGCACCUCUCCUGCCUCUCAGUAACCUCUUUCUCACCUUCAUGUACCCCAUUACUUUGUUUUCUCCAGAGAUUUCUUUGCAGAUAAAUAAUUCUGCCUCUACAAAUACCUGAAAAAAUUUUUAGCUUGCAUCAAUUUUGUGGCCUUUUGUUGUUGCUAACUGUGUGGACAUGCAGAAAUAUGGGCAGCUCCAUCUGUUCUUUGACUGAUGAAAAGUGGUACUAACCAGGUUAGGCACAGUACUUUCUCAUUGAAGUCUCUCUCCAUCAUUGUUAAAGAUGUUCCAUUGUUCCAUGAGUGAGUGAACAUACACAUAGAGGCUCAAACACAUAUUCUCAUACCCCAUAGAAACACAUAAGACAACACAUAGGCGCGCACACGCACACACACACACACACACACACACACACACACACACACACACACACACACAUACACACCCAACUUUCUUGAACCCAGAAGGGCAAGGGAGAAUACUGGAAUCUUAUAACACCUUUUGUACUACAGGGAGAGGUAGUGUGUCCUCCCUGUUGUCUACCAGCCUCUUAGACUCAGCCAGGCUUUUCUGCCCUGGCCUGAACUUGUUUCCCCUCCUAGGGAAGUUUUUAUCGCCAGACUCACUGAUUGUACAAAUAAAUAACAACCUCUGCACAACUGAGUUUGACCACACAAGACCAAGUGCCCAUGGAAGAUGGCUGGACAGGAAGCCUCCCGAUAGAUCCAAGUUGACCCAUCAUAGACUCCUCCCUAAACAUACCCAGACUCCUCCACUGAAGGCAGUGAUAGACCAGAGAAUGGAAGUCACCCAUUGUCAUUACCCAACAACUUUUGACCAGAUUAUAGUGCAUGUUAUACUAAAACAGCCCAGGUCAGACAGUAGGAGGCUACCUAAGUCACCCACAGCACUUUCCUGAACUACAGCACUCUAUAAAACUAUGAGAAGGAAUCUUUCCUAAGAACACAGCCAUAUACAUGUUAGAGUGAGCAUCAAAAUGUCAGGUUCCAUGUGUGAAGCUAGUAAGACAAACCAGACAUUUCCUGGGAAGUUACUUCUAUGCCGUGAAAGAAGAGAAGUCUACUUAUUAAUUUUAAAAUAGAUCCAUUGUUUGGCUUUUGUAGGGGACGUUCCUCCUUCCAUACUGUUUCUGCCUCUGAUCUCAUAUGACCUAUGCAAAGCAAGUGAGACCCAGACCCUUGACCUCACUCACUCAGAUCUCUGUGCUACUCCCUAUGUGGCUCACAUCAUAGCACUGCUCUUUCCAUACUAGCAUAUCAGUGAGUGACAUGUGAUUUACCCGUCUCCCUCGGUGGACUGCAGCUUCUAGCAGAGCAGUAGGGUUUCCUUGGCAGUCAUGCAAUGCCUUCCAAGAGGCUAACUCCCCAGAAAAACUUGUGAAUGAUCACAGAAAUGAACAAUUAGAUGAGAUGGGUCAGGUGGAUAAGUGAGUAGAUGGUUCCAUGGGUGUGUGUAUAUGUAUGUGUAUGGUUAGACAGGUGGGCAACUUGGCCCUGCUGCUUCAACCUACCUGCUGCUGCUUUGUCCAGAGGUCAUAGGUCUUCCAUUAGGCCUCCUCACAGAGCCUCCUCACCUCGUCACAGGAUUCUUGUAGUAAAAUAUGCUCCCCCUGUAGCUUUCUGUUGUUCUUUUUCAACAUGCUCACUUUUUCCUUUAGCUGAGUCCAUUCCCUCAGGAGCUGACUGUAGAGGGUGCUGAAAUAUCACCAAAGAUGAUGAGUUCCACCUGCUUCUGCACUCCUGGCUCUAAUACCAUCCUUCCUGCCUGGCCCCACAUCCCCAUCCCCAUGACCCUGGGCAGGAACCCACAUUAGCAAUGCCAGCAUCACUCAGGUGCAGGCCAAAGCCAGAGAAUAGCCAAAUUCCAGAUAGAUUCAAACUGCUUCUGAAUACCCUGACAGCAAAAGGGAUCCAUGUACCUAUGAAAACUGGAUCCUCCACCUCCCCCCCACACACACUCUGGUGUUUAACUGUUCACAGUAUUGGGGAAACAUGAGCAGGUAGAGUCAAACCAUGCUCUAAGGCGGACAGAGGACCCAAUGGGAAUACAUUCCAUCCACGCUUCCCAUAGAAACCAACUCUGUAAGCUCCUGCCAGAGCCACAGAAAACAUUCAUGGUGAAAACCAUGUUUUCUCUCUAGAAGCUCCAGACUUUGACAGGAAAAUGUUGAGAGGGGCUCUAAGACUUUUCACUCUUAGGAGAACUCAGUUUAGGAGGCACAAGUCCAUGAGCUAUGAGGCAGGCUGCUUGCUAAGAGGUCAGACUAGAACCACAGCCCAACUUUGUUCAAAGGUGAAGAAGGGGAGAAGCUGCUGUGGGAUGUCUUCUGUAUGCUGUGAAUAUGUCUUUAUCCCAUUGGUUAAUAAAUAAGCUGCUUUGGCCUAUGGCAAGGCAGGAUGGAACCAGGCAGAAAAAUCCAGGAGAGACAGAGAAGGAAGUCAGAGGUGGAGGAGAUACCAGCUGCCACCCAAGGAGAAACAUGCCAGCAGCCUGGCCAUGCAGCAGCCAUGUGGCAAACACAGAUUAAAAGAAAGGGGUUAAUUUAAGAUGAUAGAGCUAACUAGCAAGAAACUUAAGCCAUUGGCCAUACAGUUUGUAAGUAAUAUAAACCUCUGUGUGUUUAUUUGGGACUAUUUGACUUCAGGAGGUGAGUGGGACAGAUUCCUCCUGACAGCUGGGUCAGGCAGGACUGCAGAAACUUCAGACUGACAGAAGGGGUCCCUACCAAUUUUUGGAGUCCCAUCUAAGUUAGACACUCACUGGUAGGAUUUGGUCUGCUCACUCAGCUCCUUGCACUUGUACGAUGCCUCAGUAAUCUCCUUGGGGAAUUUCUUCACAUCUGACAUCUCCUUCUCAUGCUGUGUUUUCAGCAUCUCAAGCUCAGAUAUCAGCCUGUGGUAGGGCGUGGCCCCAGGAGCAAAGAACCCCAUGAACACGGGUGUCAGGGACCACAUGAAUUAAGGUUCUGUUUUAUACUACCCUAGCCCACUAGAUUUCACACCCUCAAUUCUAUGUACUGGACCUCCUGGUGUGCAUUAGACUUGCCUCACUGUCCCAGGGUCAGGAAAGCUGGGUGUCAAUAGGAAAGGAGACAGGACUACAUGAGCUCCCUCAGUAGGCCUGGAGGGGUAGACUAGCCAGCUAAGAGGGUCUGAGGAGUCUGUGGCACAGAACGGGGUCUAUCUGAAAUCUGCAAUGAUAUUUUCACUGUCUUGAGAACAGAGAUUCUUUCUCCUUACAAGGAUAUCCAGAACUCAUAAUCAGUACUGCCAUGAAGGAGGCACUACAUGAGGAUGGCUUUAUAAACUCCCAAGGAGAUUCCAAUGAGGCACCAGGGUGAGGACAAAGCUGAGAGCAGUGAUGCUCAAUGUGGGGCUCCCUGGCCUCAGCACGUACAUCACCAGAAAUCUUUGAAACAUGUGAAUAUUCAGGCCUACUAUCAAUCUCUGACUCACAGGAUCAGGAAGGACACACACACACACACACACACACACACACACACACACACACACACACACUGUAAGUAAGCCUCUCAGAGACAGUACCGAACACACUCAGACACACAAUCCUCAGCACAAAGAGAUUUAUUACCCCACAGGUCAAGCAUGGCGUUGGGAGCCUGUCUCUGGAUCAGGCAAAGGCAGACAGCAAGCAGCAGGCUUUUUUCAGCAGUGGGUUUUUAAGUAGAAAGAUUUUGUCUGUGCUAGGGUGAGUUGUUGAGAUCUGAUUGGAUCAGUUAGCCAGUGUAGCCAAGUAAUGACUUUUGAUUGUUGGACUUUGGUAUUUAGUUUCAAGAAUGAGUCAGUGUCCACUAAAGGGAAUGGACUUUGGGGACUAAAUUUAGGAAUGUAAUCUAAUGGUUUAUCAAGGGAGAGGGAAGUGAAAAGGGAAAAACCUGCCACUGCUAAGUUUGGGCCCCUUAGAGAGCACUUCACACACAUAAACCCACACACAGGAUGUCAGAGAAAUGCAGGUAAGUGGCAUUGUCUCAUAGUAUAAGGAACAAGCUGAGAGGAGAGGAGAUGAACUCCAGGCCUUCCGGUGACACACAGAUGGACUGAGUAGGCCCACCAGGCCAUUCAAGCUGCUGCCAUAGCAAAAAGCAAAAAUAAAUACCAAUUUAGAGCACUGAGCAUCUCCUAAAAGCCAAUGCCUCAGGCCUUCUUGAAAUGCAUGUUGUGAUCUUACACCCUACUGCCCCUCUCUGUAGAUUGUGAUUCAGGCCACAAGCUCUGGUUUUCAUUGGGAGGAUUCAGAACGGACUAUGUCCUAUCUCAAUCAUACAGGCUUCAGUUCUGCCUCUCAGAUGCACUCAGGACACAGUAGGUUCAAGACAGUCACCAGAGAAAAGGGCAUGUUGAGUACCUGUUGUUCAACUCAUUGUUGUUAUAAAGGGCCAGGAGUUCCAGCAGUUCAAUCCUCUCAUUGGUCAUCAUCUGUAGCUGAAGGGUCAGUUUAUCCACCUGGUUCAGCUGUUGCUCCUGCUCAGUGAGGAAGAAGGGUGUGGAUGAUGCCUUCCUAGUAGUCCCUGUAGGUACAUAAACACAAGUGAAUUUGUCCAGAUGAAUGGCAUAGGGCCAAGAGAGAUCAUGUGGAGUCCCAAGAGGAGUCCUGAGGAAGAGGAAAUGCAUGCCACCCAGUGAAGCCCUCAAAAAUCCGAGCAGAUAUCCUUAAACUGGGGACCAUAAGCCAUGUGUCUAUCUCCAAUCUCUAGGGAUAGAUAUAUGCCUCAGGCCCUACUUCAGCCCCACUGUCCCUGAAAGGCAUAAGCAAGGCCAGUCAUGUUGGUUUGGAAUUCUCACCAGAUACCUUAUGUGAUGCAAGAAAGUUCUGGACUGCCUGGUGCUUCGCAUCUCUCAACCCUGAUAAUCUGUGUGCAGGACUAAAAGCAACUGAACAUCUCAGACCUGGGUACAUGGAUGGAAAGUUUCCCUUCCUGGUAUUUAUAUCAGAUAUCCAUGAAAUCUACAGAAUUCCACUGAGAAUAAAGUGCAGCAACAUCCUACCCUGAUACCUCAUUAGUGGUUCUGGGCCUCCUUUAGCAUUCUUUGCCAAUCAUAAUGAACUGGAAAAGGUCCCAGCACAGCAGCUGCAUCCCUGAUAUUUCCUGGCCCUCUGCCCUCAGAAAUCCUCUGCUUUGGAUCUGCUCUUUAGCAACCCAGGUAAGCUGCAUAGGGCCAUUGCUUCAGAUGUUCACAGCUACUGCACCCCAUUAAGAGAAGGACCAAUUGUGGCAUCAACUCCUGAUUAGAAAACCAGUGCUUUCUAUGCGAAUCAGUGUGCUCAGUUUUGCCAACAUGUCAAUUGGUGAACCCUGUGGGCUCUUAAUAAAUGCCUCAAGGGCAGUUGGCAUUGCCACAACACUGGUGAUUUCACAGAAGAUGCCAAUGACUCUCCAGGAUACAAUAGAAUUUCCAGAGAAGGGACUCUUAGGGUCACUGCUAAUGUCAUCACCUAUCUGAUAACAAACUCUUCCCCAAUUCACCAAAAGCCAAGCUCCUCUUUCCAGCAGCCUUCUCUGAGACAGAGCAGGGCCUUCAGCACCUCGUCAUUUCAAUCCAGGGAUCUCAAUGAUUCAUUAGAAUCUAGUUCAUUCUAAUUCAAUAGUUCAUUAUGUAUGGAGGGCAAGACUCAAUUUCCAAACACUGACCAGGAAUGGCUCUUCUCAUCCUGAAGAAUGCUAACUAAUAAGAUGAGAAAUAAAGGAUACUAAGAAAUUAGCUCAGGAUAAUAAGGAAGGAAUAUCAGUUCCUCAAGGUGAACAAGCACAUUAGAGAAAUCCACGGGGCUGUUACAAUGUAUGGGGGUGGUGAAGGAUUAUGUGGGUCCUCUCAGAACAAUGAUAAGUCAUAUAGGUAAUGAUGAAACUUUUGCCAAAAGCUUCAGCAGAAUACAUUCUAACCAUCAUGAUGUUAGCAAAGGAGUUAUCAAUUAUUGAAAGGUAUGACUGAAAAUACCUAAUAACUGGGCAUCCAGAGGUGAGCCCUCUGACACCAAGUACAAAUACUUACAGGAAGAGUGAUGUCCCAGUUUGCACUCAAGGUAGAGGGAAGAUGACUGGCGAGUGAGAGGAAAGGAACUCAGAAACCUUAGGGGUCACUGACAUGCAGCAAUACUUGGUGGCUCCUGACCUGAUAGUGGGUUGUUAUUUAAACUGUGAGAACCUCUAGCUCUGGCCAGAGGACUUUACUCUCCUUGUUAUUAGUGACACACACCAAAAGACAUCCAGUGUGGGUGAAGUGCAUGGCUGGUACUGAAACCUCUUUAGUCCCUCUGUGCUUCCUUCCCACCCAGAGUGAAAGCAGAGGGCCCUCAACAGAACAACUGCAGCCUUGACCAUCCCUGGCUCUUUGCCAAACUAACCUUGAAAAAUCCAUAACUUUGUUCUGCUCCUGAAGAACUCAGAGGACUAGGAUAGGCCCAUGGCUUCUCAGAAACUCUCACCCCCUUAGCCCCACUUCUAGAAGGAUCAGCUGAAGCCUUCCUCCUUUAGGAAGUUCCCUAUCCCUUUCCCAGGACUCACUGCGCUUUUCCCAGAACCAUUUAUUUCUUGAUGUGUGACAUGGAGACUGAAGGGCAUCUUCCUUCUGCCUCCCUUUGGUCUCCCUGUGCUCGCCAUCCUGUCUUCCAAGAAUCCUGUUCAGUCUAGUCAGCAUGUCUGUAGGUGAAAUGUGAGACACUGCACAAAUGCCCCAAUGACAGUUGGUGUUGCCACAACACUGGUGACAUCACAUGGAAUGCCAGGGCUCUCCAGGAUACAGUAGAAUGUCCAUGUACUGAUGUCACAUGGUAUAGCUGUUACAUCCCUGUCUCAUACCUCACCCAAAAGUGACUUGAAACCAAGGUGCCAUUUUCAGGAGCCUCUGGGUUCACAAUGGAAGCCAUUAGUUAUAAUCCUCCUUUCAAAGCCAGAAAUCUAGGCCUCUGCUUCAUUAGAAACUUUAUCUAAGUGAAGUUGAAAGCUCACUUUGCAUGUACUGUCCAGGGUUGAAUUUUCCCUCCUUAAGAUUCAUAAUCAAUAAUUUGAGAAAGAAAGGAUGCUUAGAAAUUAGGUCAGGACAAUGAGGAGUAGUAGUGAUGAGACCUGUGAAGUGAGCAAUCACCCAGGGAAGAUCCUCAGUCUUGUAGAGAUUGGUGGGCUCAAAGAAAAGUCACAUUGUUAGUUAUGAAGAUUUCACCAGAGUGUCAGUAGAGCUAACUCAAGCUAUGAGUUUAUGAGUGAAGAUGUGACUAGCUCUGGACAGGUCUGGUUGGAGCCACUAAGACCAGGUGAGCUCUCAGAUAUUGAAAGCAAGCAAUUCAUGGAAAGAGUAGGAUGACCCAAUCCUUGAAAUCAUUGACUGAGGAAAAUGUAGUGGCAAGUCAGAGUUCAGUGUUGGCUAUGGAGAGGCAUCAUGAAGGAGACAACAACACACACACACACACACACACACACACACACACACACACACACACACACACCAGGCAUACAUUCAUGGAGUAGAACAUGAUGUAGAUCACUGCUGUGGUGCUUCAACCAGUAAACAAAGCCAAACGCCUAGUUUUGGCGCCACCUGUUCCAAUCCACAUGCUCUUGAAGAGGUGGCACUGCUAGCUUUGGGUACAAGAUCCAUUAGGAGGACAUGAGAAGGGCAGGCAAGGGGAGAGAAUCAAGAGUUGUUGCAUCAUACAGCUUUGUUAUAGCCAAACCUCACAUUUCUUAUCAUGACAUCGCUAUAAAGAGAAGCCAGGUCAUGGUCAGCAUGGAGUGCAUGUUCUCCAACCAAAUCUCUGGAUUUUGUCCACCAAAGCGUUAUCCUUGCGUCCUAGGACUUAUGAAACUUUUGGGUGAUCUGUGUCAUUUCAGAUUUUGAAGCUUUAAGCAAAUAAAUGUGAUUGUCAACUUUAUUUCUAAAUAGAGUCUUGUGAAGCCCAAAAAGUUGAGUACAUCCUGGAAUUUGGGAGCAAGGCAUGUCCACUAAACUGAUAUAAAAACUAUUUUAAUAACAUAGAUGACAGUAUUGGGGGUAAAGAAAUGUGAGUAGAGAGGUGGUAUAGAGAAAGGGGUGAGAUAUUCCGAGAGUGUGAUUUCUCACAUGAAUCCAGAGAUGAGGCAGUAGAUCUAGAUGGAAAAGGAUAAAGGAUUGCCUGCAAAUCCCAGUAAUUAGAAAGAGGCCUGGAGUCAGCUGUAUAGUUGAGACCUCAGACAGCUUGGUCUUUCUAACAAUCAAUUGUGAAAUAUCACACUUCCAUGAACAGAUACCCUGCCCAGGAUAUAUAGUUAUUUACCCAGCAAAGACAGAAAUCCAUUCUGCAUGGUCCUGCUUCUUAUCUCACUGAUAUUCCAUCCAGAGGAGGGUUCAUGUUCUUCCAAAUGCCCUGAGAUCAAGCUGACAGGGGACGGCACCUGACUUUUACAAUGUUCAUCUCAGCCCACUCUUGGUAGUUGGAUCAUGUUCAGGAAAUGAACUGGGAGAUAAGACUUUGCCUAGCCGCUUCUCAAAGUUCAGGCUUGAGACUCCCCCUCUGUGCAUGUCAACUUUCCUGUCUUCUACAGGGAGGGGAGUGUCUCAGGUGUCUGCUGGUUUCUUCUCCUCUUCACAUGGUUCAGGUUACCCAAGGGACAGCCUCCUCAACCUUACUCAGAGCUGCACAAGACAAAGCCUGGCUUCAGACUCCCCAAAUCUGGCCUCAGCAGCCAUGAGAAUGGUGGCACAGUUCACAUGACUUUUUUGAGACACAGGCUCUCCUGGAACUUGCACUGCAGUCAGUCUUCCAUUCUCCUCCUCAUUUCCCAAUUGGUUGAGAUCAUGGCAUGCAUCACUAUGCCCAGCUCCUUUUUUUCUAUUUCUAAAUGUUUGAACAUCCAGAAGCAACCAGAGUGAGGUCAAGAUCAUGAUGGGGAAAACCGCAGAGAUAGCCUACCUAAGCUGGAAUCUCUUGGACUCUGGCAGGAACAAGCACAGGACCAAACUAGGUCCUCUGACUGUGGGUGACAGUCUGGGUGAUGACCUGCAUCUUCAAGUGACCAUGUUCAGGACUGACUGUGAACAUACCUAUCUGUCCUGAACCAGACAGCUGGAAGAGGCAGCCUGCUGGUGGAAGACACAGCCUACUAAGCCUUUGUCUCAGUAUAGAAAAUAAAAAGGAAGCCAGAAGUUGGCUUUUUGUAUUACUUAUCAGUUCCUCUUUAUCUGUCUGCCUCUCAGGGAAGACUGUGUAAUUCUUUUUCCCUCAAAUUAAUGAGUUUAUUGAAGUUAUUACAGGAGUAUAGGUAUGGUAUUACUUAUAGGAAUAUGAAUAAAUCUAAUGUGUGGCAUCACAAAGGCUCACAUUAGAAUGGGUGACCCAUGAAGACUAGAACUCUGAAUGUGUCUGCAUGACUUGUUUGCAGCUGAAUGAGACAGAGGGUCUCAUUUCCUCAGUUCUCCUUAGUUACACCUAUUUAACCUUGGGAGCAGAAGGGCCUUGUUAAUCCUGUAAAUUUCAGCUUUCCCAGCCAUGGUUUAAUUGCUGAGUAUUAUGAACCUCCUCUCUCUUUCCACAGAACUUUCUGAGACUUAAGGAAAUAGUCCUACUCAGGGAAGAGCACACCAGUUGGAUACUCAAUAUUAAAUGAUCAGUCCUGAAAACAUAUAUGCUAGCUAUACAGAAUGAUUGGUUUACAUUUAGGAAUAUAUAACUAUAUGGAUACACACACACACACACACAUAUAUAUCUUCAUGCUCAUAUAUAUGUAUAUGAACAUAGGAACAAUUAAUGAAUAUAGAGGUCAUAAAUUAGAAACAGAGCAAGGAGGAGUGUAGUGAGGGUUUGGAAGGAUGAAAAAGAAGAGAAAAUAAUGUAAUUAUUAUCUCAAAAAUAAUAGAAGAGUAUUUCAUGUUAUCAAAAGGAAAAUUGUUACACAACAUUUCACCCAUUCCUUAAAAUGUUAGUUGUUUGUAUAAGUUCACAUUCUCCCAUGGAGCUCUGCAAAGGCACUAAAGGCAAACACAAGUCCUGAAGUCCCUGGUGAAUCAACCAUUUUAUGUUUGACCUCUUCUGUAAGCACAGCCCAGUGCUCUAUCAUGCCCAGUGAAUUGGCCGCAAAGCACUGCUUCUCUCAUAUAUAUUUUAUCAGGAAAACCCCAUCCUUCCUUCAUCAUCUUCCAGUGUGUGUGAGACCUCUGCUUGUGAUAACCAAGCAUCCCCAACGCUUCCUGUGAGCCAGUCCAUCAGGAAAUAAUUUCUCUCAGAUUUCAUUAGAUUACAUAGCCUGUAUUUCAAGGAGGUUUUUGUAAGUGGCUCACCUACUUUCCUACUUCUAUUGCACUCAGAUUGAUCUCAUCUGUUCUCAUAGCCUACAAUCCCAUGAGCAAAGCUUUGACAGGAGGUUUCAUUGAUCUUUGAAAGUCUUUUGUAUCAAGUAGUUGAGAGACAGAAUACUCCCUGACUGAGACAGGCUCUUUUCGCAGGCCAUUUUAAGGCUAUCAAAUGCAAGUUCUAGCAUGGAUUUUCCUUUUCUCUGUAUAAAAGGUUGAAACUAAGUGGCAUCUUCUAUCACUUUUGUUUUAAACAGAGAAUUAAACUCUAAUUGUAUACAAGUGUAAUGAAUUUUGUCCUAAGGAAUUUUAAUAAAUACAGCAGUUUCAUAUAUGA